UACUAUUAUUAAUAUAAUCUAGAGUAUGAGGUUAGAAGAAGACAAAAUAAUGUAUAUACAUAUUUACACUCAUAGCUAAUCAUACAGGAAUGAUAACAAAAUGAUUAAUAACAGUUUCUUCAACCUAACAGACACCAUGGCUAAGAAUCAAAUCCAAGGUGUGGUUACAGGCAUGAGUAGGCCGACUGCAUUCUAACAUACAUCUACAGGGUCUAGAAUAGCAGCAAAUGUUGUUGUUAAAGGAUCACUGUCAUUCCCCGUGUGAAUAUUAAAAUAGCCAACAAUCAUGGCUUUGGCAGUAGUGACCACCAGGUUUGCUAAAAAAAUCUGCAAACUCCUUAAGAAAAUUACUAUAGACUAGACAAUCUUUAAAAAAUAGUUCUUGGAGGUUAGGGACCAGGUAGUGAUUGGAGGUUGGGAACCAGGCGGUCUAUACACAGUAACUAUGGUGAUUGGAGGUUAGGGACCAGGCAGUCUAUAUACAAUAACAAUGGUGAUUGGAGGUGAAGAACUACGAAGAGAUGAGUCAGCAAGACUAAGAAGAAGAAUUUCAGAUGUUCUAAAGCUAUAAGCACUUUGCUCAGACAUUCCUAUGUUAGACUGAAAUAUUGCAGCAGCACCAGCACCUUUGCCAUCUGGUCAAGGGUUAUGCUGUAAUCAGCUGGAGUAGAUUCAUUUACUGCCAUGAAUUCAUUCGGUCUAAGCCAGGUCUCUGUAAGGCAUUAGGACCAAGACUAAAGUCAGUAAUUAUUUCAUUUAUCAGUAGCGCCUUAGAAGCCAGUUUUGAAGCCAUUCAAAAGUUUUAGCUUUGCAUUACACCUAUUAUCUAAUAAUGGAUUUGGUUUAAUUAUUAUUAAGUUAUUAUGACAUCCAUCCAUUUUCCAAACCGCUUAUCCUACUGGGUCGCGGGGGGUCCGGAGCCUAUCCCGGAAGCAAUGGGAAUGAGGCAGGGAACAACCCAGGAUGGGGGGCCAGCCCAUCGCAGGGCACACUCACACACCAUUCACUCACACAUGCACUCCUACGGGCAAUUUAGCAAGUCCAAUUAGCCUCAGCAUGUUUUUGGACUGUGAGGGGAAGCCGGAGUAUCUGGAGGAAACCCCACGACAACAUGAGGAGAACAUGCAAACUCCACACACAUGUGACCCAGGCGGAAACUCAAACCUGGGAUCCAGAGGUGUGAGGCUACAGUGCUAACCACUGCACCACCAUGCCGCCCCCAUUAUCACAUACACUACGGUGGAAUAGACCUCCACAAUUAAAAGUGAGGGGAACAGACACAGUCCCAGUAAAAUGAACCAUAGGUGACGACUCUAAGCGACUAGCAGGCGGUCGGUUAUGCUUGUUUGCCUGCUGCCUGGACUUGGCUCUGGCUAGUCAGUGAUUUGCCUGGAGACUAUGAGCUAUGCUUUUGGACAGGAGAAUGGCACUAGCCCAUGAGGGGUGAAUACCAUCCCUCUUCAAAAGCCCAGGCCUACCCCCAAACAUUUGCCAGUUAUCUAUAUAACCCACACCGUUUAUCGGGCACCAUUCCGACAGCCAGCGAUGCAGCGACGAUAAUUUGCUGUAUAUUUCAUUGCUUCGCCUAGCAGGGAUGGGGCCAGAGCGCGUUACUGACAAACACAUCUUCCUCGUGUGACCCGCACAAGGGGCGAGAAACACAGCUCCCACCGUUAACCUAGCGAAUCUCCACCAAUAUAGACGCUAUUACCAUUGCAGGCUAUUUGAAUAAAGGAACAAUAUUGGGGCUGAUGAAAAAUUUAUUUGCGUAAAGCUAAAACACACCUAAGAAAAUAAUCACACUAGGACAACCAGCACUAUAGUUCUCAUGGGAACACAAAAGAAGAAUAUAUUAUAGACAAGUAAAAUUAUAUUAAAUCACACUUCACCCUUAUAGACACAGCAACCCACAUUCUGCCCCCACAGGAACUAACACUCGAGGUCCUAGGCAAAAUACAACAAAACACCAUCGACAAACACACAAAGUAUUUAAUUCCCACCCCUUAACUAGGCCCGCGAAAUCAAAGACCAAAUUACAACGAAGAAAAAAAAAAAUACAUUGAGACAGAGGAAAAACCUUUUCUGGGCCCAGAAUGCCGCUGGUGGAGUGUUAACACGCACCAGGCACAUGGAUCACAUCUACACCGGGCCCAGAAUGCCGCUGGCGGAGUGUUAACACACACCAGGAACAGGGAUCACAUCUACACUGGGCCCAGAAUGCCGCUGGCGGAGUGUUAACAUGCACCAGGCACAGGGAUCACAUCUACACUGGGCCCAGAAUGCCGCUGGCGGGGUGUUAACACGCACCAGGCACAGGGAUCACAUCUACACCUGGCCCAGAAUGCCGCUGGCGGAGUGUUAACACGCACUAGUCACAGGGAUCACAUCUACACCGGGCCCAGAAUGCCGCUGGCGGAGUGUUAACACGCACCAGUCACAGGGAUCACAUCUACAACGGGCCCAGAAUGCCGCUGGCGGAGUGUUACCACGCACCAGUCACAGGGAUCACAUCUACAACGGGCCCAGAAUGCCGCUGGCGGAGUGUUAACACGCACCAGACACAGGGAUCACAUCUACACCGGGCCCAAAAUGCCGCUGGCGGAGUGUUAACACGCACCAGGCACAGGGAUCACAUCUACACCGGGCCCAAAAUGCCGCUGGCGGAGUGUUAACACGCACCAGGCACAGGGAUCACAUCUACACCGGGCCCAGAAUGCCGCUGGCGGAGUGUUAACACGCACCAGUCACAGGGAUCACAUCUACACCGGGCCCAGAAUGCCGCUGGCGGAGUGUUAACACGCACCAGACACAGGGAUCACAUCUACACCGGGCCCAGAAUGCCGCUGGCGGAGUGUUAACACGCACCAGACACAGGGAUCACAUCUACACCGGGCCCAGAAUGCCGCUGGCGGAGUGUUAACACGCACCAGACACAGGGAUCACAUCUACACCGGGCCCAGAAUGCCGCUGGCGGAGUGUUAACACGCACCAGACACAGGGAUCACAUCUACACCGGGCCCAGAAUGCCGCUGGCGGAGUGUUAACACGCACCAGUCACAGGGAUCACAUCUACAACGGGCACAGAAUGCCGCUGGCGGAGUGUUACCACGCACCAGUCACAGGGAUCACAUCUACACCGGGCCCAGAAUGCCGCUGGCGGAGUGUUACCACGCACCAGUCACAGGGAUCACAUCUACAACGGGCCCAGAAUGCCGCUGGCGGAGUGUUAACACGCACCAGACACAGGGAUCACAUCUACACCGGGCCCAAAAUGCCGCUGGCGGAGUGUUAACACGCACCAGGCACAGGGAUCACAUCUACACCGGGCCCAGAAUGCCGCUGGCGGAGUGUUAACACGCACCAGUCACAGGGAUCACAUCUACACCGGGCCCAGAAUGCCGCUGGCGGAGUGUUACCACGCACCAGUCACAGGGAUCACAUCUACAACGGGCCCAGAAUUCCGCUGGCGGAGUGUUAACACGCACCAGACACAGGGAUCACAUCUACACCGGGCCCAGAAUGCCGCUGGCGGAGUGUUAACACGCACCAGACACAGGGAUCACAUCUACACCGGGCCCAGAAUGCCGCUGGCGGAGUGUUAACACGCACCAGGCACAGGGAUCACAUCUACACCGGGCCCAGAAUGCCGCUGGCGGAGUGUUAACACGCACCAGGCACAGGGAUCACAUCUACACUGGGCCCAGAAUGCCGCUGGCGGAGUGUUAACACGCACCAGACACAGGGAUCACAUCUACAACAGGCCCAGAAUGCCGCUGGCGGAGUGUUAACACGCACCAGGCACAGGGAUCACAUCUACAACGGGCCCAGAAUGCCGCUGGCGGAGUGUUAACACGCACCAGGCACAGGGAUCACAUCUACAACAGGCCCAGAAUGCUGCUGGCGGAGUGUUAACACGCACCAGGCACAGGGAUCACAUCUACAACAGGCCCAGAAUGCUGCUGGCGGAGUGUUAACACCCACCAGGCACAGGGAUCACAUCUACAACAGGCCCAGAAUGCCUCUGGCGGAGUGUUAACAUGCACCAGUCACAGGGAUCACAUCACAGCUGCUCUCACAUCCCUGCACUGGCUUCCUCUGGCUUCUAGGAUUGAUUUUAAAGUUCAUUUGCUAAUUUGUAAAUAUUUAGGUGGUUUUGCUCUGUCCUGCCUCAGUAACAUGACUGAAAGAUAUGUCUCAGGUAGAUCAGUCAGAUCAUCCGGCAGUAAUUUGCUGAUUAUUCCUAAAACCUGGCCGGGGAGGGAGGGGGCAGCUUUUAGUCACUAUGGGCCCAAACUCUGGAACUCUCUCCCAGAGAACCUUAGAGCUACUGAAUGUCUUAGUGCUUUCAAAACUAGGCUGAAAAUGUAUCUUUUCACCACGGCAUCUAUGAUAAUCAGUUGUUUUAUUAUUUUAUGUAUUUAUUAUUAUCAGUCACUGUGGGGGGGGGGGUCGCUCUCCCCAGAAGACAUAGGGGCUAGAGGCCCCUGUGAGGGAGGGGCCCCUACAGCGAAUAUGGGUUGUUAAAGUCCUUUAUCAUGAUAUUUUAUUAUUUUUAUUUAUUUAUUUUAUAUACAUUUUUACUCUAUUUUAAUUUCUUUUCUGCUUACUGUUAUUUAUUCUGUGCUUAUUUGAAUUUCUUUCUUUUUCUUCUUUUUAAAUGUUUGUAAAGCCCUGUGGUUUAACAAGCUAUAUAAAUAAUGAUUGAUUGACUGCACACAAUAUUCUAGGCUUUUAAAAAAUUCCCAUGCCUCUUCAAAGGUUUUGCUGUUUAACUCCAACUAGUUUGCAGUUUCUAGCUUCAGUCUCAUACCAUUAAAGUUAGCCUUCCUAACAUUGUAUACUUUUCUUUUGGACUUUGCUCUUUGGACACUAAGAUUAACCUCAAAUUUAACCAUGUUAUGACGUGUCUGAUUACGCUGAUUACCGAUAAUAUCGUCAUAUCACUCAGACCUAAUUGGUGAUUUGACAUGAUCCCAGGUAUAACAAUACAGGCAAAAAGGAUUUUACUCAUGGGAUCAGGAAUCCAAGUGCCAGUUGCUGCUGCAUUAGCUGCUGUGGAUGUUCACAUCUCCUCCUUUCAGUGAUACGUGUCGAGUGUAGGGACACCUGGCAGAGAGAUGGCUAAGGACUGCACUGGAAGCUCUGGUCUGACUGUUAUGGGAGGUUCACGUCCAUCUUGCUGUCCAUGUGUUCAUAUAUAUUCUGUGAUUUUUGGCUGUAGCUUGUACUUAAUGCUUUUACCUCUAGUUUUGAGCUAAGAUGCACUUACAAUUAGUGAUCAUCUGACUGCAGCAAAUUGCCAGGAUGCACAAGACACUCUGCAGACUGUAAUUCAUUUUGAAAUGUAAGCUGUGCUGCUAAUUAUAUUGAAAACAAAUACAGAUUGUAAUGUUUGGUAUUUAGCUAAAGUGUAGGAUGUGUAUAUGUCUGUGUCUUAAAGUGUUUUCUGUUCCAGGCUGAAUGGCUGUGAUCUCAUAGAUAAACACUGUGAAAUGCUGACUUCAGCUCUAAGAUCAAACUCCUCACCCCUGAGAGAGCUG